UUGUGGAAGCUGAAAGCGGGUCAUCCUUCUGCUGUCCCUGGUUGUUUUGUCAUGGCCACUUCAGCAUUUUUAGAACAGACAACCAAAGCUACCCUGACCUACAAUGCAACCAAGUGAGGCUUCUCAGAAGAGUGCAGAGAUGAGAGGCCCGCCAAAGCCAUCUGUCAUCCUGCUUUUAAACCUCUUACUGCGUGUGGAAACCAUAAGGCUGUUGAAGGGCAGAGGAGCUUUAAGAGAACAAUUGCAGAGGUGAGAGCAUCCUCCAAGGCCUGGGAAUCCUCCCCCAGAGCAGGCUGCUUUGGUUGACUGGCAGGAGUUUGGGUGUGUGGCUGGCCUUGCUGAUUUCUUUUUUUUUUUUUUUUUGGAUGUAGGAACAAGAAUUGGAAGAAGCACACAAACAUGCACACAAAAAUCAGACUCCUCUUUCAUGAGUCUUAUCUUCCAAUGCCAUCCAGAACAGAGAAACUGAAAAUGCAGUUGCUGGCAGAGAAUUUUGUUAGACCAGCAUCUGGUUUGUUACUAGCAGAAAGCUAGAAGGACAAGUGAAACAAGAUUAUAGAACAGUUUUGCAGCCAUUACAAACAGUAGAUGCUGUUUUGUAUUUCAGGAACAGAUUUAGGCAAUGCUUUAUUGUUGAGUUGAAUUUUGCUAAGCACUAUAUGAACUUUCAUUUCCACUUAAUAGAAAGCCCUACAUCAUAUCUAUGUAAAAGUAGGUGGGUGUAACAGAAAUGCUAAGUCAAGGCUUGAACCAGUGAUUGAGCACCUGGUAGGAAGGCAGGGCCAACCCAGGGGAACUCAGGUGCAUGCAAUGCAUCUGAGUGACUGGAAGGGGUGGAGCCAGGAUCCACCCCUUCCCAGACCUCAUUUAAGGGCAGUGGAACAAGGGUAUCUUGCUGGAGAUCCCUGUGUACCUGAGGCCUUCCAAAGGUAAGUGGAUUCUUUCCUUUGUUUCUGUGCCCAUGGCUCUUGCACUUGAGCAAGUGCUCUCUUGCUAUAGCUUAGACUUUGUUACUCUGCUAUCGUUGCUGUGUUUUCUAUUGUGUUACAGUGGGUACAGUAGCUAUGUAGCCUGUUUCCUCCAGGUUGUCGUUCAGUGUCUUUACUGUGCUUUUUAUGUCUCUUCAAGAUAAGAACAUCAGUGACUUUUACAUUUGAGCUGGCAUGUUAUCAUCAGCUUUUGCUAGUUCUUACUCAAAUCAUACUGCUCAACACAUGUGAAUUAAUUUGUUGGAAGCUUGAACGCUUGAACACAUGACGAGCUACUGAUUCUAACACAGGCCUGGUACAAGAAAUAUAAGUUACAGAGUAACUUUUUGAGGGAGAAAGAGGAAAAGACUGACACACAUCAUUUACCCUAUAUAUACCUUUUGGUUACUGAAUGCCUUCUUAAAGUGGGUAAGCACUUCUGGCCAUUGGAUGUCACAAGUGUGUUUUCUGGAACAACAGCACAGAACUUCUCAUCUACAUUCUCAAAAUUUCUGCUUUUAAGAGGUGACAGAAGUGAAAUCUUGAAGAGUGGAGUGGAAAAUCCCCAGGCAAAACAGAUCUUUGUAUUUACAUUAUUAGUUUUAAGAGAAGUACUCCGUCUCCUUUGUGAAGUCGCAUUUCAGUAAGCUCCUCCCACCUCUGCAGCUCUCACAGUGAUUUGGGUCCAGUUGGACAAAGUAACGCACCUAUACUUCAGCAGCUUCUCUACCAACUCCUAUCCUUGCCACUCCUCUGCAGCAGCAUACGUGGAGAUGCUGUGCUUAGUUCACAAAGCAUAGCUGAACAACAGAGCCCAGGUUCCCUGCUGGCUGUCAGUGAUCUGUCACUAACAGCUGAGCCCCUGGGGCAUUACCUAGCAUUUGUUUAGUCUGCUGCAAAGCCAAGACUACAGAUCUGGGUUUUGGAGCACAUCAGCAUGGCAUGUAAUACCUGCAACGUAACCCAAGCGUACUCCAAGUGGCUGCGUGCCCACAGGUAUUGGCUGGCAUGCAGAAUAUGAAAACUUUCAGAAACUAGCCCAUUAAAAACUAACGGCUUUUAACUAUGCUUCAAACAAACCAAGCUGCCAAAAACAGAAUAUGGCCUAUAAAGCUCGAGUAACUAUAGCAAAACUACCCACCUUUCACGUAAGGCAUUGUUUGAAAGAAGAUGUCCGCUCACACGGCACCAAUAAAUACAGGCUAUAGGUACCAGGAGAAUAAGAAAAACACAGCCAACUGUCUUUUUUAGAAAAGUAUUUUUAAUAAACAGAUGGAUUUAAGAUGCUAGACAACUUGUUGCCAUGUACAAGGUAACAAAGUCAAAAUUCUUUGAAUUUUAUACAAAUACUACGUAGUACAGUAAACUUGAAUACAAGUUUACAAAACAAAAUGCAUCAGUGAUUAUUCAGCUUGUAACCAACUUCCAACAGUGAAAAUUACCAUGUAUCAAUAGUGAUCAGAAUUGCAUUGCAAAUUUUAGAAGUAAUGCAAGUAUAUUUUUACCAAGCCACUCUGAAGUUUCUGGUGCACACUGACAGUACAUUGGAUUUUUUUGGCUUGCUGAACUGAAAAUGGCAUUUAAAUAAAAUGACAGUUAAGGAGUACACUAGGUAUCAAAAGGAUUACCUUACAGAAAACUAAAGGAGAAUGAGAAAGUAAACAGAGCAGAACCCUGAAGUAGCAAAUUAUUUUUCUACCCGUUUUGAUGGAAAAGACUCCACAGGUGUCCAGCUUUCUCACAGCAUUUUGGAGUGUUCUAGUCCUAGCACAGUGUGGUCAUUAGUAGACUAAAGUAAUCCCUGCUUGGCAGUAAUGCUGGUGAAAGGUAACUUGCUCUAUUGCUAACAGAUCGGAGUAACCGCUGGCAGGGUGACUUCUUGCGGGCAUCCAGCGGAGGCCGAGUUCACAGCCCGUGAUUGAAGUUACAGUACCACUCGCUGGGAUGCAAUACCCAACAGCCUUCAGGGUUCACGUGUCAGUUUCCUCACAGGACUUACAAAUGGAUGUAUUUAAACAAAAAGUGGAGUGUAAGACAGUAUUUUCGUCUGUACAGCUACUGAUAAAAUGAACAAUUGUUACAAACUUUCCAGUCUGCUUUAUAAAAAAUAUUCUUAGUUUUACUUCUAAACAAAAACUGUGCUGUGAUCUGUCACUUUCUUGCAUUGUACAUACUGUAGUUGUGUUAAUGAAGGUGUAGAGAUUUGAGAUCUAGAGCUCUGGAUAUCUGAGAAGCCUAAAAAGCUGGUUUUGGUACAGAAGAAUUAGGUAGCAAUGAAAAUUUAUCCUAUUUAUUUUUCCUAAAACCUAGGAAGAGCUACAGUACGUUGCUAGAUCAGUGGCCUCAACCCUGAGCUGAAAUAAAGGACCUGCCUUGGCCAAGAGAGUCACAUUACUACUACAGCUGCACAGGAGAGACGGAACGACCCACCUACAGUCUGUCACCUUAGCUUGUAUCACAGAAGAUGAGUGAAAGCUUCAAGGCUGUCUUCCAAAGGCUUCAGCCCAACUGCCAGAAGAAAAACUUCUUGCUCUUUUCAACCAUGAAUUGAGUUGGCCAUCAUGCAAAUUCUUACUAGAACAUAACCUACUGUACCUUCCUGAAGGGUUCAUGGCACUGACUACCCAUGGCCUGGAGAAUACACAGCAUUAAGCAUUCUUGCCUCCUAGGAGGAUUUUUUUUUCCCCUUUUGAACAACAGAAACGUUAGAGUCAGUAUUUCACUUGAUGGAAAAAAUUAAACUGAGCAACAGAUCAAAAAUAAAGCUUGUAAAAAUCAUUUAUGUUUCUAGUAAUGCACACUUCUUGGAGAGCUCAUCAGUUUAUAGAUGUUGUUUUGUUACAGUUUAAGGCAGCGAGUCUUACAACAUACACAAGCUCACCUCCCUCAUAUUUGUGCUACUGUAUCCUCAUGUGCACAACAGAACCUCGCCAAUUCACACUAAUGACUGCAAGAACCAUUAAUUCUCUUGGUAAGUGAACAAGAAUAAGGCAUUCCAUUAUAUAUUCUGAUCACUAAUUAUAAUUUAGCUCUAAUUAUAAUCUACCAGCAAACAUACUUCUGUGUUUUAGAAAAUAGCAUCUCUUACCUUCAGACAUAAUUACGUGUGCAGAUUAGCAGGUUCUGCUGUGUAAACACGCAGGUGCAUAAGCAAUUUUCAGGUUUUUCUUCGUUACAUCUGACAGGAAAGUUAAUGCCACAGAUAGAAACUGUGGGAAAAUAAAUUAAGAUUUCUCUGUAAUUUGUGCAGAUAUGCACAACCAACUGGGUGCCAAUAUAUCGGCUUAAAAAAAAAACAAAA